GGGGCCUCCCCGCCGCCCGCACCCUGCCGGGGGUAGAGGCCUUGAGUUGGUGAAGCGGGCUGAGUGGGGGGGUUGGUUAUUUUUGCGGAGGCUCUGCUUAAAGCAUUCGGUCCUCUUUCUUAAACCGCCCUCUGCUGUGUUCAGGCGUUAAUAACGCAUACAAUUAAGCUCCCAAAUUAUGGGGAAUGGGCUCAUUUAGCCUGUCAGAGAGUGCCUUUUCAACCUGAAGUAUGCUACGUCAAUAGAUGAAUUCUCAAACAAGCUUUUUGGGGCUUUAAAAAUCGCCUGUGACAAAACAAGCCUCUUUUUCACAGGAAUUCAAGGUGCUUCUUGUUACUCAAUGAUUUGGAUUGAGACUUACUUAAAUUUUGGUUUGGCAUAACAGUAGAACUCUGAAACAAAAAAGCAGAACCCACCUUUUGAGUCCUGACCAUAAAUUCUUUGAGCAACUUGGCCUAGUGGGAGGUGUCCCUGCCCAUGGCAGGGGGGUUGGAACUAGAUGGUCUUUAAGGUCCCUUCCAACCCAAACCGUUCCAUGAACUAUGAUACAGUGUUUCAGGUGAACAUAAACAAUUCUGGAAACUGGGGCCUUUCCAAAUAGGUGGAGAAGACUUUUCCCAAAACAACCGUUGCCACUGUGUUUUGAACUGAGUAAUGCAGUGAAGCUAACCAGAAAAGAUGAUUUACUGGCGAGCGGUAAUCAGUAAUUUUGAAUGAGAUUCAGACUUAAAUGCUUAGUCAAGUAACAGGAUGGCAUUGUGGGCACUUCAGCCAGUAGAAGUAAAAGCAACUAGUUUUGUGAACAUCAAAACUAAUGAAGCCUACUUCUUAGUAUCUCUCAUGUGAAUUAAUUGGUAUCUAGUACUGUUGAUAAUCCAGACUUUUCACUUGGUUAUGGCGCUCUACCAAAGUCUUAUUUUCACAUGAUGUUAAGUACUUAACAUUUUUGAGAUGCUUUCCUUUUGUCUAGUGAGGCUGAAACUGCCAAACAAGUUCAAAAGCUGCUAGGGAGGAGCAGACAUACUCAUGACCACAUAGAAUUUAUGACAGAAAAGCUAACAGGAUGAAUUAUUAACAUUUCGGCAAAACAGAAAGUACAAUCUAAGGAACAAAUAGUCCUGAGGAGAGCAAGAAAAAAUUGAUAAUAUGUAACUGGGUUUACUGAAAAUACAAGAAUUAGUAGAAAAUAACUGCUUGUUUAACUAUAUUCUUGCAAGUAGUAAUUACUGUCAAGUAAGACAACAGCGUUUUGUGGUUGAUGUGGGAUACAGUUUCCUGAAGCUAGGCUACGGAAAGUGGCAAUGUGAUAAGAAAAGAUAUAUUAAAAACAUUGAAGCAACUGGGUGAGCAGUGACACUUGGAAGGAUAUUGCUCUUGAUUUACUGUGAACAAAUUUUUUUAUCGUAAAUGGACUGUAAAAUUCCUUAUUUCUGUUUUCAUUGGCACACAGCUGCCACCAUUUCAUAUUUGGUGUAUUCAGUACCUGCUUUACUCUUCUGUCCAAGAAGACUCUCUUGCAGGAUUAAAAUAUACACACAGAGGUGCAAAUGCUCAUAGCAGGAUUGUAUCUUUAUGCUGAUCACUAGCCUUUUGCAUGAUCUUGUUAUUCAGAGGUUUCUGUUGACCUUCUACAGCAUCAGGAAGACAUUUUCCUUCCAGUCCACAGAUAACUCAAAACUGAAGAAGAAUGUUAGCAAGCAUUUUCUGCCAGCUGUAUCUUCCUCUUAGCUCUGCUUCAAUUUCUCACAGUAGGCUGCCAUUCCCCCUUGGAUUAAUGAAGAACAGAAGAGGAGGAUAGAACAGCAUGACUGUAAUGCAGUGACAGAAAUGGGCUGAGAGAUCCUGUCAAGGAAGGUGUAGGAUCUUGGUCUCUGUGAAAGCAGAUUUUAGUAUUUACUGUAACGUUUGAACCGCAAGAGUUCCCUCGGCCAAAAACCAGUGGAGCUGUGUGUGAUGAGUCCCUGUGUGUCCCCCGCCUGGCUCAUAUCACCUUUCUCUUCCUUGGG